GUAACAGCAAGAAGUAACACUGUAUGUAUGUAUAAUAUUCAAAUAUUAAACUAGGAGUAAUUGGACAAGCAGUUUUCCAAAGUUUAUUUUACAAAAUUUUCAUGCUAAAAGCAAGCGGUAGCAAAGCAAUUGCUUCAUUUAAAUUAUUAAUCUUUACUUGUAAAGAUUAAUAUGUUGCAGUUGACAUGAAUCGUGAUGAGCCAAUCCGGUAUUGUGUAAACGCAGUCUUAUUCCUCAAUACAUUACCCGAUGUUCCUGGUAUUUUACGUAUAUUACGUGUAUGGCAAUUAGUGUCCGUCCGACAAAUGGUGUUGCAUUUUUAAUCAGUUGCUACUAAUUUGAUGUUGGAAUUUUUAUAAAAGGAUUUGAAACACUGUGGGCGUGUGCAUCUGUAGUGAUCAUCCUAUUAACACAUAAAAUGUACUCUUGCCAGCAUGCGGUCAAUAAAAUACUCUUGCCGUUUAAAGCGCCAAUGAUAACAUGAAAUCACAUUGCUUUUCUAACCUAGUGAAUCUCCUUGAUGCAAAUGAGCAACCGUUCAUAAAGCCAUAUUAUUGCUAUUGUUAUAAAAUGUACUUUUGUCCACCAUGUGUCAGGCAGACUUCGUGUGACGAUAUGUCUUACUCAAGAGAUCUUCAGGAAUUUUUGUGGCGUUUUAAGCCCCGUUUACACACUAUACCGGAUUGCUAUCGUAGCAGGUUGAAUAUUCUUUGUAUUGAAAGGAAGUGAUAUUGUUUAAUGUCAGAAGCACAAUCAAAUAGACUAAAUCUACUAACUUAAUAAUCAUUUAAUCCCCAGGCAGUUAAACCUUUAAACAAAUGAAGAUGUCGUGAUGAGCGAGUCCGGUAUAGUGUAAACUCUUCUUAAUUUUUCAAUACAUGACCGUUUGUUCGUGGUAUUUACGUUGGUGUCAAUUAGUGUCCGUAUUACAAAAGGAAAGGAAUACUGUGUUUUGAAUUUUUAUAAAACGAAUUUGAAACACUGUGAGCGUGUGGAUCACUACGAUGCGUUUUUUGCAUUUGAGUAUGAUUUCUCUUUAUCUGCGUGUGUGCAUACGCCAUGCUGUGCAUGGAUAAAUAUGAUCUAAUAUCUUUAAUCUUAUUGGUGGAAUAAGGUUUUAUUAAGAAACUCUCCAAAGAAGUGUCUUAUAAACAGUGACAGCCGUCUGCACAGAACCAUAGUGGAAAAGUAAAAGCGUGUAUUUCUUGUAUAUUUCUUUACGUGGCUAACUUGGCUUUAAAAGAAAAGAUCGUCAUUUACAAAAAGAUGAACAACAAAGGUGAAAAUACCUGUGCUAAAAAAGAAAACAACGGUAAAGAAAAUCAUUACAAUGGGUUAGAAGAUGGGAACAUAAGAUACGACAGUGCAGUGGAAAAUGAAAGUAUGGAAGAUGGUGAAAAUACUCAACCAAUUCUAAAUUUACCCAUUCAAGAAACGCUUCCUGAACAAUUUUUGUUUGACCUGCAAGACUUGACAAGAGGAGAUAGAUGUGUGAUGGACAUGCUGAACGAAGAUUUGGUUUUAAAUGUUCAAUCAACGUUAGAAAAACUUUAAAGAUUCGUCAACUUCAACGUAAAAUGAUUUAUACUGAAAGAAAUAAUCAUGCACAUUUUUUAUGAUAAAUAGGUUUGUGUAAAACGCAAGAACUCAAGAAAAUAUUUUGUUUUAACCAUUCAAUAAUCAAUGGAAGAAAGGCAUACUUUAAUCUUAUGUACUAAUGAACCAUUUAAAAUAAUUUGUACGUUUUUGUAAAUAUCUUUCUUAAUAAUAUUUAUUUUUAUUAAUGUAAUUAUUAAUAUUUGUUGAAUGGUAAUUUUUUACAUGCGUUAUAAUGCAUAAACCACUGAUAUAAACUCAUACAUUCCUACA